UACGUAGGGGGCAAGCGUUGUCCGGAAUCAUUGGGCGUAAAGCGCGUGUAGGCGGCUGACUAAGUCCGCUCUGAAAGCCCGGGGCUCAACCCCGGGAGGCGGGUGGAUACUGGUCAGCUCGAGUCCGGAAGAGGAGUGUGGAAUUCCUGGUGUAGCGGUGAAAUGCGCAGAUAUCAGGAGGAACACCAGUGGCGAAGGCGCCGCUCUGGGCCGUGACUGACGCUGAGGAGCGAAAGCGUGGGUAGCAAACAGG
rnacentral:rRNA from 1 species